AUCUCUUUGCCUUUUGGCUUAGAUCAUGUGUAGUAUCUGUUCUUUUCAGUGUAACAACUGAAACUACAUCUUAUAAGAUGUAAUCAUUUUUGUUACUUUACCCUAUUUUUGGAUCUAACGUAUGCUUGGACCAGAGACUGAUGGGCUUGCUCACAUCUUGGUUCUUGUCUUGUGUCGUUGCCAUUGCACAUUUCCCGGCUUCUGACGCUUUUCAACA
rnacentral:snRNA from 1 species